GGUCCCUGUCUGUGGAAGAGGAGAGCCUUGAGCCAGACUGAAGCUGUGCCUAUAAAGAAGCUUAGGAUUGAAACUGUUGGUUAUGGUAAGGAGAAACAGGAAGUGGGAGAGGUGGAGUUCGACCCCAGACACCCUGAAGACAGACAGAGUUUGUCACAGGAGGCAACAAAACAGUUUAUUGAUGAAUUGACAGAGGUUGCCCCUGUCGCAGUUGCUCUUCAGCUGCUCUCAGAC